UUCUACUAAAUGGAUCCUAUCAACUGCCUUAAAGGCAUGAAACUGGUGAGCAGGUGAAACGCAAGAGUGCAGUGCUACAGCCUGCACCUCCACUUUGCUUUAAGGUUCUGUCCUCUCAUGGAUAAAAUCAGAGCUAUAUGUGGAAGUUUUUGAUCCAAGUAACCAGGUAAUGCACUGUAACUGCAACCAGAAAUAUACAAGUGGGGAGAUUUUUAUUUAACCGAGGAUUGUUGAAUUGUAAGAAAAUCCUGAUGAAUGAAAAGUGUGAGCCACUGCUGCCAUGGUGCGCUGCCUUUCAUCUGAGUUCCUUUUGUCAUCACACGUGAGGUUAUGGAAGCAUCAGGAGCAAAGCUCCCUGCUACAACAGGAGGAGCAACAAAUUCUUUGCAGGCUCAUUAGCAGACCUCACCAACAGCAGAUGACACUUCAGCUAACCUGAGAGUCAGUCUGGAGGCAGUGCAGGAGCCAUCAGGACCACGCCAUGCACUGAGUAAUUUCCCUUUCAGAAAGCUUUAACAACAGCCCUCUGCCUCUGGACCCCACUCAGGCACCUGCUGUUCUGCUUGGUCUGUACCAGCCUGUUUCCAUCUCUACCAGAUUCUGCCCACUGUUGCCAAGCAUGGAGCACCUCGAAGGAGGCCAGGAGAGGAGUAAGAUCUGCUCACCAGGCGUGCAAGAAAGGAGCAGAGUUGAGGCCUCUGCCAUCUACUGCUAGCAGUCCCUGAAGAAUUAACUCGACGAGUCCAUCCUCUGUCCAUGCAACUGUUCCCAUAGUUUCAAACAAGCAGUCUUACGGAUUUCACAUGGAUGAGAAGAGGAUGCACAGUAUGUGUAAGUCCUGAGAGGGGCUGGGAAGGAGGCUAUCUUAGAGGAUUUGUGCAUGGGGAGGACAGGUCAGAUGACAGCCUCAGAUCCACCACCACUCGGUGCCACCAACCUGCUGUUUGUUUGGUGCUGGGAAAAUUUCAAGGUCGUCUCAAUGUGAGGAGAACAGGAAGUAUGAGAACAGAGUUUUCCAACAUAUUCUUCUGCCACAGAAUUCCAGAUGAAGCUCUCUGCUGCACCAUCAUCUGACUUGUAGCACAACGGAGGAGUAUGGAGCUGGUUGUAGUUCAUGUCCCAUGUGGAAGCCAUCCUCGCAAGGCAAUGUGAGGCUCAGUGCGCCCUUCCCUCUAAUCUUGGAGGAUCAGCCUGGCUCAGCUGCUGGCAGCAUGUGAGAAAGACUUUUCCUUCUUGCAUGUAACUUAUUUUAUGAAAUAGUUUCUCAGGAAAACAGAAUUUAAGCUAGACUUUCUUAAGCCCACAUGCCAGAAUGGUCAGCUGCCCAGUGGUUCAUGUAUUGGUGAGUGAUGAAAUCAGGCGUGGUUAUUUCAAUUACAAAUGGAUGGCUUUUCAGUAGUAAUGCUGCUCUCUCCUGCUACUGGUUUAAAAUUGUAAAAGAAUGAAUUUUCUUCUAACUACUACUCUGAGACAAGUACUGACAUCUCACUUAAGAAGAAACAUCCCUGUUUUUAGUCUAGUCCUGUAUGUCAGGUCUUGGGUCUGGAUUUUUCUCUGACCCUAAAAUUCCAUUGAACUUUCUAAAUGUCUCUUUUGCAGUGUUCUUAAAACAAUAACGAACGGAGGCUGAAUUUCAAGAGAAUUUUCAUUGAUAUUUGCUGAGAAAUAACUGUUCUAGGUGGGAAUUUUUUUGGUAAACUCUCACUUUGCUUCUUCAUGAAUUUGGUGGUAAUCAUAAAAAAAAAAAAAAAAAAAGAGAGAGAGAUCUGCAUGGAUGAGCUGAUUUUCUUUGCUCCUCUCUUCCAGCAUCUUCUCUCAAAUAACUGUAGAACUAGUUGGCCAAUUUCGAUCAGGGUUUAUGCUGCAGUAAUGCUCAGGAGCCGUUUGGUAGCCUGUGCUUGGGUCACUGCAGUGUAAUGGCAGCUGUCUAGCAUACAUUGAGGACCAAAGAACUUAUCUACCUUGGGGUGGCUAAGUUAGCCAGAACUGACAAUCAAAGGCUGAAUAAUUAAAUUGUUUUAGCUAUUAAUUGUAAGUGAAUGUUGUUUUUAAUUGCACUUUAAUAAUGCCAUGCCCUUUAUAGCCAAAAUUAAUGUUUUCUGUCUCUCUGUUUUUGAAGUACAUGUCAGUUUAAUUAAAUUAUUAAUAGUAGACAGAUUUUUAAGUACUUUAUAUUCUUCAUUAAAUUGUAUCUGUUCAACAAGCAUAAACAGGAAAAUAGACUCAGUUAGAAGCAGAUUCACGUUCUGCCUGAUAAAUCAUUCAUCAUCAGAUAAGAUGAUGAGGCAUGCUUGUUUUUCUGUAGGCUCACAACGAUAAACAAAUCCACUUUGAAAUUAUAAUAUUUAUUGAGUUUGUAGCAAAAUAAACAAGACUGUUAUUUAAUAUUAACAACAAGCCUGAAAGUUGUUGUUUGUGUUUAUGGAUGGUCAGUGAAUGGAAAGCAAUAUCUUUAUGGUCCAAGUGUCAGCAUUAGUUCAUUUUGCUUGAGGUGCUUGUAAGUAGCAUAUUGCUCCAGUCUAAGAUACAGCUUUGCAGGCCUAUUCAACUGCAGUAAUGAUGCAUAUUUCUAUUAUUUCUGCAACGUAACCUAAUUGCACCUGAAAAGAAUUAAAAUUUCUUUUUUAUUUGGCAGAAGUGAUAUACUUGAAAGCAAAUGUUGAAAAAGUUUCAGUCCUUAAUGGCUUCCAAUACAGUAAGUGUGAUGAAAACAGCUUUGUGAAGAUUAUAGAAGAGUGAAAUAUGGCAAGGUCAUUUCUUCUCUGGUGGUAAAGCCUACAAAUCAUAAUGGGCUGUUAAUGGGCUAACAGGCAGAAAUUUGGAAACAGUGCAGCAACUGCUCAUGAUACAUUCCUGCGCAUAUUACACAGGCAGACAAAGAUGUAACUGGUUAUAAUAGAGACAACAACGUCCUUCCUUUGUGUGGCAGAUCAA